AAAUUCAACAACGAAAAGUUCGCUUUAGCCGAUCAAAAUAUGACUGCAGAAGUCGGUGAGCCAGCAGCUCCAUCGGUUACAAAAGU
rnacentral:sRNA from 15 species